CCCGUCGUUCGCGCUUCGGCGCGUGUAACGACGGACCCGCGUAUCCCGACCGACCCGCUCGACGGUACGCUAAAGGUUUAAGGCCGCUCGUUUUAGGAGCGUUCGGCUCGCGGCAAGCGCGCCCUUCGCGUCGGCNAUCGGACCGAGUGCCGAUUCUGACCGCGGGCGACUGUUGGCCGCGAAGUUCUCGA
rnacentral:rRNA from 1 species